rnacentral:rRNA from 1 species
CCCUUAGACGUUCUGGGCCGCACGCGCGCUACACUGACGAAGGCAACGAGCUUUCCUUUACCGAAAGGUACGGGUAAUCUUUUGAAACUUCGUCGUGCUGGGGAUAGAUCCUUGCAAUUAUUGAUCUUAAACGAGGAAUUCCUAGUAAGCGCAAGUCAUCAACUUGCGUUGAUUACGUCCUUGCCCUUUGUACACACCGCCCGUCGCUACUACCGAUUGAAUGGUUUAGUGAGGCCUUCGGAUCCGCGACUCGUUUUGUGGAGAAGUUGGACAAACUCAGUCAUUUAGAGGAAGUAAAAGUCGUAACA